rnacentral:rRNA from 2 species
UUACGGCCAGCAGCCGCGGUAAUACGUAGGGGCAAGCGUGUCCGGAUUUAUGGGCGUAAAGCGAGCGCAGGCGGUUUUUUAAGUCUGAUGUGAAAGCCUUCGGCUCAACCGAAGAAGUGCAUCGGAAACUGGGAAACUUGAGUGCAGAAGAGGACAGUGGAACUCCAUGUGUAGCGGUGAAAUGCGUAGAUAUAUGGAAGAACACCAGUGGCGAAGGCGGCUGUCUGGUCUGUAACUGACGCUGAGGCUCGAAAGUAUGGGUAGCAAACAGGAUUAGAUACCCUGGUAGUCCAUACCGUAAACGAUGAAUGCUAAGUGUUGGAGGGUUUCCGCCCUUCAGUGCUGCAGCUAACGCAUUAAGCAUUCCGCCUGGGGAGUACGGCCGCAAGGCUGAAACUCAAAGGAAUUGACGGGGGCCCGCACAAGCGGUGGAGCAUGUGGUUUAAUUCGAAGCUACGCGAAGAACCUUACCAGGUCUUGACAUACUAUGCAAAUCUAAGAGAUUUAGACGUUCCCUUCGGGGACAUGGAUACAGGUGGUGCAUGGUUGUCGUCAGCUCGUGUCGUGAGAUGUUGGGUUAAGUCCCGCAACGAGCGCAACCCUUAUUAUCAGUUGCCAGCAUUAAGUUGGGCACUCUGGUGAGACUGCCGGUGACAAACCGGAGGAAGGUGGGGAUGACGUCAAAAUCAUCAUGCCCCUUAUGACCUGGGCUACACACGUGCUACAAUGGAUGGUACAACGAGUUGCGAACUCGCGAGAGUAAGCUAAUCUCUUAAAGCCAUUCUCAGUUCGGAUUGUAGGCUGCAACUCGCCUACAUGAAGUCGGAAUCGCUAGUAAUCGCGGAUCAGCAUGCCGCGGUGAAUACGUUCCCGGGCCUUGUACACACCGCCCGUCACACCAUGAGAGUUUGUAACACCCAAAGUCGGUGGGGUAACCUUUUAGGAACCAGCCGCCUAAG